UACUUAGUAAAAUAAUUUAUUCAUUCCGUAAUACACCAGUGUUUAACAAAUAAAUAUUCUGAUACGGAACCGUCACUCCACAUGCAAGAGUCCCCCUUAGCAGGCUCUAUGUGAAUCAUUGUGAACUUAUUUUGAUAUCUUCGAAAAAACUUGUAUAAAUAAGAAUAAAAACUAGUAUAAAUAAGGUAACAGGUGGUCUUUUGUGAUAGAAUUCGAGGUGUCAUCACAAUGUUUAAGUCGUCUUUCUUGAUUUUGAGUUGCGUUGUGGUGGCUGUUGUGACGCAGUCACGGGAAUGUGGGCUCAAUGAACAUUUCACGCAGUGCGGUAGUGCUUGUCCAACUACAUGUUCAAAUCUGGGGCAGAAUUGCCCUAUAGCGCAAUGCGUUGUCGGCUGCUUUUGUGACGAAGGUUAUGCAAGAAAUGAUGUUGGAAAAUGCAUACCUGUUGGUGACUGCCAGUCCCAGUAGGUAUUAAAAGCCUGGUUCAGGGUAGGCGGUGCUUCCACGAUGCCAAAUGCGGUAGCAUAAGUCAUGAUUUGUUUGUCUUCAGAUGUUUACUUUUUGCAUUUAUGUAAGUUUAUCAUUUGCAUUUAUGUUACUAAGUCUAAUUUAGAAGGUUUGUUGAUGAAAAAAUCUUCAUAAUCCAUAAUUCGAAGACCUAAAAAAUUUACAAUAAAUUAUUGGAAGUACCUA